CUCCCAAACCCCUGUGAACAUACCUAUACGUUGCCUCGGCGGAUCAGCCCGCGCCCCGUAAAAAGGGACGGCCCGCCCGAGGACCCCUAAACUCUGUUUUUAGUGGAACUUCUGAGUAAAACAAACAAAUAAAUCAAAACUUUCAACAACGGAUCUCUUGGUUCUGGCAUCGAUGAAGAACGCAGCAAAAUGCGAUAAGUAAUGUGAAUUGCAGAAUUCAGUGAAUCAUCGAAUCUUUGAACGCACAUUGCGCCCGCCAGUAUUCUGGCGGGCAUGCCUGUUCGAGCGUCAUUUCAACCCUCAAGCUCAGCUUGGUGUUGGGACUCGCGGUAACCCGCGUUCCCCAAAUCGAUUGGCGGUCACGUCGAGCUUCCAUAGCGUAGUAAUCAUACACCUCGUUACUGGUAAUCGUCGCGGCCACGCCGUAAAACCCCAACUUCUGAAUGUUGACCUCGGAUCAGGUAGG
rnacentral:rRNA from 1 species